rnacentral:sRNA from 1 species
GCAGAGGGACAUAAGCUCAGUAAGUUAAGUGACCUAUCCGAGGUUGCUCAGCCAGUAUAUGUCAGAGUGUUCACUGGACCUGCAUCUUAACUCUGAGGCUGGCAUUGUUAAACACCUGUAGUACUGCCUCCUGCUGAAACGUCUUUCCUCCCCUAUGGAAUAAACACUGGGAAACCACAGUCACUGGGGAGUGAUAUAGUAGGGAGUUAGAGUAAUGCUUGCAUUUAUUUUCCUUUGGCCUUAGGUCAAGAACUUCACUGAGGUCCACCCUGACUACGGGAGCCGCAUCCAGGCUCUCCUGGACAAGUACAAUGCUGAGAAGCCUAAGAAUGCGAUUCACACCUUUGUGCAGUCCGGAUCUCACUUGGCUGCAGGGGAGAAGGCAAAUCUGUGAGGCCGGGGCCCUGCACCUGUGCAGCGAAGCUUAGCGUUCAUCCGUGUAACCCGCUCAUCACUGGAUGAAGAUUCUCCUGUGCUAGAUGUGCAAAUGCAAGCUAGUGGCUUCAAAAUAGAGAAUCCCACUUUCUAUAGCAGAUUGUGUAACAAUUUUAAUGCUAUUUCCCCAGGGGAAAAUGAAGGUUAGGAUUUAACAGUCAUUUAAAAAAAAAAAUUUGUUUUGAUGGAUGAUUGGAUUAUUCAUUUAAAAUGAUUAGAAGGCAAGUUUCUAGCUAGAAAUAUGAUUUUAUUUGAUAAAAUUUGUUGAAAUGAUGUAUGUUUACAUAUCACCUCAUGGCCUAUUAUAUUAAAAUAUGGCUAUAAAUAUAUAAAAAGAAAAGAUAAAGAUGAUCUACUCAGAAAUUUUUAUUUUUCUAAGGUUCUCAUAGGAAAAGCACAUUUAAUACACCAGUGUCAUCAGAAGAUAACUUGAGCACCGUCAUGGCUUAAUGUUUAUUCCUGAUAAUAAUUGAUCAAAUUCAUUUUUUUCGCUUGGAAUUACAUUAAUGUUAAUUCGGCACUGAUUUCACAACAGAUCAAUUUGUAAUUGCUUACAUUUUUACAAUAAAUAAUCUGUAUGUAAGAAC